GGUUGACUGGUCUAGUGGUUAUGAUUUCUGUCUUACACACAGAAGGUCACAGGUUCGAUCCCUGUGUCAGCCA
rnacentral:tRNA from 6 species